AUUCGCCAAAAUGACAAACACAAAGGGAAAGAGGAGCGGCACCCCAUACAUGUUCUCUAGGCCUUUUAGAAAACAUGGAGUUGUUCCUUUGGCCACAUACCUGUGAAUCUAUAAGAGACGUGAUAUUGGAGAUUUCAAGGGAAUGGGUACUGUUCAAAAAGGAAUGCCCCACCAGUGUUACCAUGGCAAAACUGGAAGAGUCUACAAAGUUCCCCAGCGUGCUGUUGGCAUUGUUGUAAACAAGUUAAGGGCAAGAUUCUUGCCAAGAGAAUUAAUGUGCAUAUUGAGCACAUUAAGCACUCUAAUAGGCGAGAUACCUUCCUGAAACGCAUGAAGGAAAAUGAUCAGAAAAAGAAAAAAGCCAAAGAGAAAAGUACCUGGGUUCAACUGAAGCACCAGCCUGCUCCACCCAGAGAAGCACACUUUGUGAGAGCCAAUGGGAAGGAACCUGAGCUGCUGGAACCUCUUCCCUAUGAACACAUGGCAUCAGAGGUGUUAACAAAAU
rnacentral:lncRNA from 1 species